GGGGAUUUAGCUCAGCGGCAUAAGCGCCUGCCUUGAAAGCAGGCAGACGUGAGUUGAUUCCCCA
rfam:Cavia porcellus supercont2_36 genomic scaffold, whole genome shotgun sequence.